ACCUUGGCCUAACUGUGGGUCUCAGGGCCGGUUGCCGUCGUCUGUAUCCUGGUGAGGCUCUUGUGCGCUGAAUAGCUGAUCGGCAGGUGCCUUCCAAAGGGGAGGGGAACUACAACUUCCAUCAUCCCCCAGCCUGCAUGGCACAUUUGCUGAGGAGGAAGUUGAAAAGGGUUGAUCCAGAAAGAGAACGUUACAUCCUCCAAGUUCCCUUUGAUUCGGUCAGUACCUUCAAAGUUGCCUUCAUCCCGGCUGCUAAUGGCUCUUCCAGUUGAUGCUCUUGUAUUAAUGAAAGGUAACAACAAACAGCUCUUAACUAGCAGGGAGAGCCAGAAGAAAUUCUGAAUCCUCCCGCUUUGUGGCUGUUUCUGAGCCGGGUUACAAUUUCCGUGUAAGUAAGAGCUUAAACCUGUCAGCUAAUUCCUUCGAGUUGUCUCCCAUCCAGCAGAACAGCAGUGAGUGGUGCCAUUACCCCCACCAAGAGGCAGCCACAUGCAGAGAGGAAAGAGAAGUAUGCUGUCACUACAGAGUUGAGGCUCUAGGCUGUCCCUUAUUUCAGCUGCUGCUGCCGCUCCACCUCCCCCUUGAUUUGUGACAGAAGAACAACUAGCAAGAAUCCCACCCACCACCUGUCAUUUUUCUAUUUACCAAACAUGAGGUGAGGGAAACAUCCUAUCUAGUGAUUGUCAUUUUCUGAGCAGAAGCCCUUAAUCUCACCAAGAAGGAGGAGUUUGUCUUUCCAUCAUUGGAACAAAUGUAAGCCUCCCUCUGUAUGUGCCCCCGUCUUUCAAACAAUAAAGGGAGGAUAAAAAACUGU